ensembl:lncRNA
CUGGAACAGACCCAAGCAGAGUUUUGGGGUUCCCAGCUGGUGAGGUCCCCACAAAAACCUGCUCAACAACAGAGUCUCUGAUACAGCAUUAACAAAGACCACCUCCUGCAAAGGCUCCCAGGCCAACUGAGGCCCUGGGGCCUCCAGCCAGCUUUAGGGCAGUAUGUCCUGGUGUUAGUGAGCAUGCAGGUGAAAGGAGAAAACAGGACAAAAGUAUAAAGGAGAAACAUCCCAUCCAGAAAGCCUUGCCUGCAGCCCGGUGCCAUCCUGCCUGUCCUGGAACCCAUAUGCUAGGCUAUUUGGUUUCUGCCCUCAAGGAUGCAGGGAUGGGCAAGGCAAAAAUUCCCUAGGUAAAAACUGAGGCAAUUGAUGAUGGGAGCUGAGGGGACUCUGACUCGGGUAUCACUGCUCCAUCUCAGAACAACCCCCACUGGAGCCUCAGGACUCCGGUUCCAUUUGCCAGAAUGAAACUUGGGCAGUAUGCAUCAGCUUGGGAGGUCCCUGUGACAUUCCAGCCCGGAAAAGGAUCCACAUCCAACAAAGAGAAGGAGCCCAAACCACCCUGGGUUGCUAACUGCUAUGUCAGAACUAGCGUAGCCUAGGCUUCCUGUCUCUGGGCCUUAAUAUCCACAGAGCACAGCAUCUACCACUCAGGGUUGCUCUGUCAUCAGAUGGCACUGCAUUUAGAGAGACCCAGGCAUGACCUAGGACCGUCCAUGUGGCCAUUUGCAGUUCACAUACUUCUCAAGACCCUUCACCCUUUACCUAAUUCAGGACUCUGGGACAGGGCAAAAUAGCCAGGGCACAUGAUUUGCCUGCAGGACAAGCCCAGGCCCAGGGAAGGGAAAACAGUCAAACUGGAGUCAGGACUAGGAGAAGAUCUCAUCCCUGUUUCCUUCUCCCACAACAGCCUGCAUGUGAGCGUGUCCCACAGGCCCCAGAUCACCUCCUCUGGGACACUGGAGGGCUCAGUCCAUCUUGCUGUCUCAUGAGGAAGCAGGGAUGGAGGGCAGGAAUGGAGGGCAGGAGAGGCGUCUUCCCCGGUGAGUCAUAGGGAGACUUGAGUUGUCUGCACCAUUUAGGGACUGGGUACCACGAGGCGUCCCGGGGGCUGGGCCUGCAGGGCCCUCAGAGGCUCCAGCUCCAGGCAGGCGGCCCUGAUCAGGGCGCACGUGGCUGCGGUGCAGCCGCACGGUGAUGUCAGGCCCACCGCGCCCGGGCCCCAGCACGUUCGUCCCGCUGGUGAGCCGGGAACAAAGCGUCCUCCACAUUCCUGUGCGCUGACUCAUAGCCGUCACGUAGCGCACUGCCAGCUGCUUUGCCCAAAAUUGGUGGCGAGGCGAGGGCGGGCCGAGCACCAUGGCCACCGCCUACUCGAAAAGCCACACAAGCUGGACCGCUUCGCGCCCCCGGCAUGAGGUUUCCCAACAAGCACAUCGGAGGGAAAUGACAGCGUGGGCUCUGUGGCCUGGAAUGCGAGGGUGGCAGCAGGUGAAUCUCUGAGGGAGGCUCAAGAAGCUUCGGUUUCUCCGUGCAGAUAAACACUCCAAGGUUGCAAGGACCUGGUAUGCGUUUUUCCUCCCUGUGUAAGAUACUAUCAGCAGGGGAAACUGAGGCAUGGAUCAGACAAGCCAGGACUGGCGCUUUGGUCGAUGCUCCAUGCCACUCUGGAAACCACUAGAAAUGCCACAGACUUUGCAGCCCUGUUCAACUGUCUCUCCUAUGUGGAGGAAAGUCCCCGGAGCUCCUAGACAGAGGCACUCCUGCCCCUCCGAGCCCC